CAAAACACCCAUAAAGUUUUCUAAGUUUUUACCGGCUCUGUCGGUGCCUCUCCUGCGGUCAGUUCCGGCGGGGGUCAGAGGCUGAAUGUCUUUCCCACGCCGACCAUGGAACUAAUACUGGUCUGUCUUGGAGAUGGAGAGCCCCACUAGCUGCUAAAGGACUCCAGCUUAACUCUGAAAUGGCUUUUCUUCUCCUCAAUGUGGGAAAAAAUGACAAAUGGAAAUUGCACCAAACCAAAGCUAUUGAGGCAGAGUUGCAUCUGGAUCUGUGUUUUACGUCCCAGCCUUGACUACUGCAACUCUCUGUACACCUGUCUCAGUCACCUACAGUGAGUUCAGAAUGUUGCAGCUUGGCUACUAACCAGGUCCAAAAAAAUGUGCCCACAUCAUUCUGGUCCUUGCGUCCCUUCACUGGCUGCCCGUUUAUUUUAGGAUUGAUUUGAAAAAUCUUUUAAUUACUUUUCAGGCCAGACUUGGGCUGGCCCCUCCUUAUAUUUCAGAACUUUUACCCCCUUAUGAACCAGGACGCAGACUGAGAUCCUCUGGUAGUUCGCUGCUGGCCAUUCCAAGGUCUAGGUUAAAAACCA